rnacentral:rRNA from 1 species
UUAAGUCCCGCAACGAGCGCAACCCUACGUUUAGUUGCUAACAGGUGAAGCUGAGCACUCUAGACGAACUGCCGUUGACAAACGGAGGAAGUGGGGAUGACGUCAAAUCAUCAUGCCCCUUAUGUUCUGGGCUACACACGUGCUACAAUGCCGGUACAGACGGAGGCGAAGCCGCGAGGCGGAGCAAAUCCGAAAAAGCCGGUCUCAGUUCGGAUUGCAGGCUGCAAUUCGCCUGCAUGAAGUCGGAAUCGCUAGUAAUCGCAGGUCAGCAUACUGCGGUGAAUACGUUCUCGGGCCUU